UGGCUCUGGUCCUGCUCUACACAUCAUGUCUUUCCUUACAGAGCCCCACAGGCAGCCCCGUGCAGGCCCUGCCAGUGAGUCCAGGGUUUUAUUUCAAGCCGUCCUUCCCCGUCAAGCUCAUCGCCUGCGUUUGGCCACACACUCGCAGCUCUCCGAGCACAGCUGGUUUUUUCCUCUUUGUUUACUCUUUCAACAAAAGCUGGAUUCUAGACCAAGCUGUUAAGUCCUGGAGAUGCAGAAAGGAACAAGACAAACACAGGCUCAGCCCUCCAAAGCUUUCAGAAACAAGACCGACCACAAAGUGACUGAGCCAGUUAACCCAGGCAAGAGAUCAGUGGCCCGCUGCUGCAAUCAAGAACUCUCGAUGGGCUGUCUGGAAUUUCUAAAUCAGCGCUGCCGAGAGCCCGGCGGAUCAAGCAGGCGGGCUCCCCGGCGGGGGUGAGAAGUGCUCAACUCCAGCAGACGACUGCGAGGCCCUGGGCUCCUGAGAGCAGCCCCCAAAGGUCAGCUCAAGGAGGAGACUGGCCUCCCUGCUCUGAGGGCAACGGAUGCACACUGUGGCCUCAGGGGCUCCCCCAGCAUCCUUUAGCCCAGAUGCUAAACAACUCAUCAGCCUUCUCUAAUGACUUUGGUUCCCAGCAUUGUCCUUGCAAUUACGGGGCAGAGACGAGAGGGGCAGAUGGUCAGGUAUUCGAUCAGCCAUCAUCGAACUGAAGCACUCAGACCCCUGGGGUACAUAGUGACUUUCUAGGGUUCACAGGCACAGACAGUUUGCAGAUAAUCGAUUUCCAGACCUUUGACUGACGUGCGUGCUCCGUGGGUUCUUCCUUUCCACAUCCUCUUUUACAAAUGCCCUUCUUCCACUUUAUAAAAGAAGGAUUGAUCAGUCGGGACUCCAGCAGGAAACAGAUGGCACACCCACAUUUGCUAAUUUCAGGCUAGGUUCAUAAAGGCACGACACAGAACCUGCAGGCAAGAUGAAGGGAAAUUACAAAGGACAGGUCCCUGGCUCUUACCAGUGCGGCCCUGGGCGGGGGGAGGGGAGGGAGAGUUCUGGAAUCUGGAGACAGAGGGCUCCACGGCGGGUGCGUGGAGGGGGAGGCCCUGCAGACAGGAGCUGUGACCUGGAGUGGAUGCAGGCAGCGGGGGCUACACCGAGUGGGAUCCAGAGGAAUGAAGACCCCCCACCUCACUCACUGCCCACCCUUCUAUCUCCCGCUGGAUCUCCUCACCCGUUGGCAACGCUCAUUCCGAAGCCAGAAAGCAAGGCAGCCCCUUUGGGUGGAAGGCAUUCAAUAUAACAGAAACUCUUCGAUUCCCGUCUGUUUAUCUAAGCAAAGUUCACCAGGCUUACACCAACCAAACCAAAAUUAAAAAGAAGAAAUGGAGCAGGAUAGCAUUGGUGCUGAAAGCUGUCCCUUCAUAACCAUAAGUAGUAUUCAUUCAUCAAUACGUGAAUUAAUGGAAAAACAGCCCCGCUAUUGUUACAUUGUUUUCGUCAAUUGUGCCGCACUCAUAAUUGCUGGGAUAAUGCAAUUCAGAAUCAUGUGUGAAACACUGAAAGCAUUGUGGUCACAGACAUUUGCAAAUUUUCAAGUUUAAUUUAUACGUGUUUUUGUUGCAGUAAUGAUCAAUAAAAGACUUCCAAGCAUAAAAACAGGAGGUAUUUUCAUCAAAUCUUGCCAGCAGAUUACAAGUUCAAGGAGAAAAAGAAAUGAUGCAACGUUUCCAACAAUUAGAGCCAAGUUUUUUGCGUGUUUUUUACAUCAGCGAUGGCGGAUGUCAGAUCACUGUGGCACUGAGUUUCCUCUGGACACACCUGAAAAGCAAAUAAUUCUAGAGCGCCGGCUGUGUGCUGUGCCCUCUGCUAGAGACACAUAUCAAUACCUCCCAGUUGUCGGGGAGCCCUCGUUCACACUGAUCUCCUGCGGAAACCCCUCUGGUAUGGUUUGAUUCUCUGCUUCUGGCUUAGAAAGAAGCGACAACUUCCCUUCUCAGCUUUGGAAGAUCAAAGCAAACAGCCAUUUUGGAGAAGUCAGAGGAACUUAUUCUAGAUGGGUCAAGAAAGUCCAUCCAGCGUCAUUGCAGAGCCUCCGCAUCAAGACAAUGAACUUUAGUCCUCAAAGAGGCAUAUUGCAUCUGUCAGGAUACACUUGGUUAUGAGGAAACUGAGGCACAGAAGCAUGAAGUGACUUUCCCAAGGUCACGCACAUGGAAAGUGGUGAGGUCAGCAAUCCACUCACCGUGAGGAGAAAGCCGUGAGGAGAAAGAGAGAGCCAGGCCAAGACCUGGCAGAGAGCAUUACCAGGCAGGGGGAACUGACUAUGCAAAGGCCCUGAGCGGCACAUAUAAGCAUGCACAAGGGUCUGGACACCAGGAAGUGCCCAAGACACUCACGGCAAUGAGAGAAGUUGGCAGGCCCCCCAUCAGUCAUUCAUUCAUGCACGAGCGUUGGCGAAGCUCCUAGCAGGUGUCUGUCCCUGGGAAUGUGAAGCCAGUCUCUCUUCUCAGGAAGCUGACAGCCCACUGGGGAGACAGGUGCGGGAGCCCCAGCGCUGCGAUGGUGGAGGCAGCACAGCAAGGUCGCCACCAAGAUGGAAGCCCCCAGAUGGCUGAGUCUAUGCGGCGACACUGCCCUCGAGGGCCCCCUGGACCUUCAGCAGACCUCACAUAAG
rnacentral:lncRNA from 1 species